rnacentral:rRNA from 1 species
UACGAAGGGGGCUAGCGUUGUUCGGAAUCACUGGGCGUAAAGGGCGCGUAGGCGGCCUAUCAAGUCGGGGGUGAAAGCCUGUGGCUCAACCACAGAAUGGCCUUCGAUACUGUUUGGCUUGAGACCGGAAGAGGUCAGUGGAACUGCGAGUGUAGAGGUGAAAUUCGUAGAUAUUCGCAAGAACACCAGUGGCGAAGGCGGCUGACUGGUCCGGUUCUGACGCUGAGGCGCGAAAGCGUGGGGAGCAAACAGG